CAACCCUCAAGCCCGGCUUGGUGUUGGGCCCUGCCGUUCGCGGCCGGCCCUAAAGAUAGUGGCGGCGUCGCCUGGCCCUCAGCGUAGUAUAGGUCUCGCUCCAGGGCCCGGCGGUGGCCGGCCAGAACCCCCCGACUCUGU
rnacentral:misc_RNA from 1 species